AAUGAACGUUGGCGGCGUGGAUUAGGCAUGCAAGUCGUACGGGUCGGUGUAGCAAUACAACGGCAAGUGGCGAAAGGGAGAGUAACACGUAGAUACCUACCCUCUGGUCGGGGAUACCGCGGCAUAACCGCAAGUAAUACCCGAUAAAAUCUCCGGAUCAAAGGUGUGAUUCCGCCGGAGGAGGGGUCUGCGUUCUAUCAGCUUGUUGGUGAGGUAAUGGCUCACCAAGGCUAAGACGGAUACGGGGUGUGAGAGCAUGCCCCCGCUCACUGGGACGGAGACACUGCCCGGACACCUACGGGUGGCUGCGGUCGAGAAUCUUCGGCAAUGGGCGCAAGCCUGACCGGGGGACGCCGCGUGCGGGAUGAAGGCCUUCGGGUUGUAAACCGCUGUCGAGGGGAAUGAAGUGUAGGUGGGUACUCUCAUCUAUUUGACAGAUCCCUGGAGGAAGCAUGGGCUAAGUUCGUGCCAGCCGCCGCAGUAAUAC
rnacentral:rRNA from 1 species